rnacentral:rRNA from 1 species
UGGGGAAUCUUGCGCAAUGGGCGAAAGCCUGACGCAGCAACGCCGCGUGCGGGAUGAAGGCCUUCGGGUUGUAAACCGCUUUCAGCAGGGAUGAGACUGACAGUACCUGCAGAAGAAGCCCCGGCUAACUACGUGCCAGCAGCCGCGGUAAUACGUAGGGGGCAAGCGUUAUCCGGAUUUAUUGGGCGUAAAGCGCGCGUAGGUGGGCUGUUAAGCGAGAUGUGAAAACCGGGGGCUCAACCCGCGGCCUGCAUCUCGAACUGGCAGCCUUGAGUCUGGUAGAGGGAAGUGGAAUUCCGAGUGUAGCGGUGAAAUGCGCAGAUAUUCGGAAGAACACCAGUGGCGAAGGCGGCUUCCUGGGCCACGACUGACACUGAGGCGCGAAAGCUAGGGGAGCGAACA